CAGCCGCCACGGUAAUACGUAGGGUGCGAGCGUUGUCCGGAAUUACUGGGCGUAAAGAGCUCGUAGGUGGUUUGUCGCGUUGUUCGUGAAAACCGGAGGCUUAACCUCUGGCGUGCGGGCGAUACGGGCAGACUUGAGUACUGCAGGGGAGACUGGAAUCCCUGGUGUAGCGGUGGAAUGCGCAGAUAUCAGGAGGAACACCGGUGGCGAAGGCGGGUCUCUGGGCAGUAACUGACGCUGAGGAGCGAAAGCGUGGGGAGCGAACAGGAUUAGAGACCCCCGUAGUCCCUGUCUCUUAUAC
rnacentral:rRNA from 1 species